UCGACACAUCGGGUAGGAUCAUGGACUUCUCAUGGUACACCUUCACAAUAGGAGCUCCCGCCCCGGUGCCGAGCCCUGCCAUGGUGGCCAGAGCUCUAUCUCCUCUGGUUGAAGAAGUGAAGCCGGAGCUGUAUGCAAUUUAACCAGCAUCAUAUGUGGCGGGGUUACUUCCGGAAAUAAUCUGCAGUUCAUAGCACAUCAUGGAGGAUAACAGGAGAGGGGAUGCUCUCAUGUCGGAAGCAGGAGGAGAUGGUGAUGAUGAUGAUGACAUUGAAGGCAUGGAAUAAGGAGGCUGAAGACAUCUAACCCGGAGAUGGAUAACAUAAAAGAUGCGCUGAUCAAAGCCUGUGUGCUGGAUGAGAAAAAUGUCUUUUGAUGAACUGUGUUCGAGUCUGUAAUAGUUCUAGCUUAACAGUUAUCGGUUUCGUCGGUUGUCUCCAUUUAUUUUUGCUGUUAGGGGCGCAUAUCGAACCUGUAGUGCCCAAAUUGUCUUUAUUUAUUUCUGCGUGAGAAUGCUUUGUACUAUUAUUUUUGUUUGUUCUGUUAUCUGAUGACA